rnacentral:misc_RNA from 1 species
UACCCCCUCAAGCCCCGCUUGGUGUUGGACCCCGCCCGGGCCGCGUGCCCGGGCGCCGUCCGAAAGUCAUUGGCGCCGCGUCGCCGGCCCCAGCGUUGUGCAACCAUCCGCUGGGUCCGGUCGGCGGGGCUCGCCUCGUCCCCCACAGUAAC